GGAAUGUGGCUCAAAUGGUAGUGUGCUCGCCUGGCAUGCGUGCGGCCCGGGUUUGAUCCUCAGCACCA
rnacentral:tRNA from 1 species